UAUCUCUGGAGAGUCUCUAUCUUAAGAGCGCCGAAGGUGUACCAUAAGUGCGCAGGCACUUGUGAAUCUCUCAGGCAAAAGGACAGGGCAUA
rnacentral:ncRNA from 1 species